GUGGUGCUCCAGGCGGCCAUUAGCUCCCGACAAGCUAUGGUUCCACCUGGUCCCAGCUAUCAAGAGAAUCUUGAUCUUGUCGUCUUUUCUUCAUCUCCCACAAUUCUUCCUGGCUUCGGACCCCAUGCUGUGAGGGUCACAGCACCAAAGAGGAAAUCUUCCAGACAUUUUUACCAGGACUUCUUUUAUAACCAGGACUCCAGGUGAAAAGAAUCUCUACUCAAC
rnacentral:lncRNA from 1 species